rnacentral:rRNA from 1 species
GACGAACGCUGGCGGCGUGCUUAACACAUGCAAGUCGAACGGAAAGGCCCUGCUUGCAGGGUACUCGAGUGGCGAACGGGUGAGUAACACGUGGGUGAUCUGCCCUGCACUUCGGGAUAAGCCUGGGAAACUGGGUCUAAUACCGGAUAGGAGCCAUUUUUAGUGUGAUGGUUGGAAAGUUUUUUCGGUGUAGGAUGAGCUCGCGGCCUAUCAGCUUGUUGGUGGGGUAAUGGCCUACCAAGGCGGCGACGGGUAGCCGGCCUGAGAGGGUGGACGGCCACAUUGGGACUGAGAUACGGCCCAGACUCCUACGGGAGGCAGCAGUGGGGAAUAUUGCACAAUGGGCGCAAGCCUGAUGCAGCGACGCCGCGUGGGGGAUGACGGCCUUCGGGUUGUAAACUCCUGUCGCUAGGGACGAAGCUUUUUGUGACGGUACCUAGAUAAGAAGCACCGGCUAACUACGUGC